rnacentral:lncRNA from 1 species
UCUGGCACGGUGAAAAACAUGAACCUCGGUUGAAAUGUUAAGAACGUCCUGAACUCCAUGCUGAGCUGGUUCCAUGUAAUGAUCCAUGGACUGCGGCACAUCAACGAGUUCCAAAGGUUGUGAGUUGCCAAAGGGUGUAAGUAACCAAGCGUUACGGACGACAAGAGGUACGAGGACCAAUAGGUACCAAGGACCGAAGGGGUGCAUGUUCCAAACGUUGGCUGUUGAGACAGGUCGUGUCCUUUCCUUAGGGAUCAGACCAUGUCUUGUCCGUCGAGACAAGUACACGGUUCGUCUAAGCCAGGGUAAGAGUCACAAGGUCCG